AGCAUAUAAGUAAGUGGUGGAAAGGAAACUAAACAGGAUUCUUUAAGUAAUGGCGAAUGAACAAAGAAGUAUUCAUUUUGAAAAUUGUGGUCUGUGAUCAUAAAUUGUAAUUUCAAAAUGCAUUGCUAACAUAAAUGCAAAUGGUGGUUUAUUGGAAAGAACAUAACAAAGGGUGAAAGUCACAUGUUUCAUUUGUAGUUUUUGUGUACGGUGUGCAUUUAAUGAAUCACAUUCUUUGACAAUGGAAUGUAAACUGAGUGGUAAAUUUCAUUUAAAGAUCAAUAUGUUGUUGAAACUUAUAGAAAACAAAUACCAUGAGGGAAAUAUGAAAAGGAUUUUGAAAAGAAAAUUAAAAGAGUUUGCAAUUGCUAAAUAGAUAAGCAAACAAAACAUACAUGUGUGCAAGAUUGUUGUAAUUGUUUGUAUUCUGUACAUGUGUUUUUACAAUUGUUUUUGUUUACUUUGCCAAUAUUCAAAUUUGGAAUGAUUACCCUUGGGUAUGAUUGGAAUUUUGUUUGCUAACAAAGGAAUGUAUGUCGGAAAAUCAUUUUAAAUUUGAUGAAUAUGUUUUAUGACAGUGCAUGUUUUUUGUCAAUACUAGGUUGGAACAAACACACAAUUCAUUGAUUAAUUCACAUGGGCAUUAAUGUUUUGCUUGACCCGUCUUGAAACACGGACCAAGGAGUUUAAUAUAUGUGCAAGUUUAUGAAAUUUAAAUUUGUAUAGCAAUGAAAGUAUUUUGCUAGGAUAUUUGCACGAGCAACCGAUUAGUUGUUGGACAUAACUUUGAGUUUGAGCAUAUCAAUUAAGACCCGAAAGAUGGUGAACUAUGCCUGAACAGAAUGAAAUCAGAGGAAACUCUGAUGGAAGUUCGUAUCGAUACUGACGUGCAAAUCGUUCGUCAUACUUAGGUAUA
rnacentral:rRNA from 1 species